rnacentral:rRNA from 1 species
GAUGAACGCUGGCGGCGUGCCUAAUACAUGCAAGUCGAGCGAAUGGAUUAAGAGCUUGCUCUUAUGAAGUUAGCGGCGGACGGGUGAGUAACACGUGGGUAACCUGCCCAUAAGACUGGGAUAACUACGGGAAACCGGGGCUAAUACAGGAUAACAUUUUGAACCGCAUGGUUCGAAAUUGAAAGGCGGCUUAGGCUGUCACUUAUGGACGGACCAGCGUCGCAUUGUCUAGUUGGUGAGGUAACGGCUCACCAAGGCAACGAUGCGUAGCCGACCUGAGAGGGUGAUCGGCCACACUGGGACUGAGACACGGCCCAGACUCCUACGGGAGGCAGCAGUAGGGAAUCUUCCGCAAUGGACGAAAGUCUGACGGAGCAACGCCGCGUGAGUGAUGAAGGCUUUCGGGUCGUAAAACUCUGUUGUUAGGGAAGAACAAGUGCUAGUUGAAUAAGCUGGCACCUUGACGGUACCUAACCAGAAAGCCACGGCUAACUACGUGCCAGCAGCCGCUGUAA